rnacentral:snRNA from 1 species
AGCCUAGCUCUGCUCGCAAUAUCGUAGCCAAUGAGGUUUAUCCAAGGCAUGAUUACUGCUAAUUGAAAACUAAAAACAAUCUAAAUUUAAGCCACCACACCUGAAUG